CCUACGGGAGGCAGCAGUGGGGAAUCUUGGACAAUGGGGGCAACCCUGAUCCAGCCAUGCCGCGUGAGUGAAGAAGGCCCUAGGGUCGUAAAACUCUUUCGCCUGUGAUGAUAAUGACAGUAGCAGGUAAAGAAACCCCGGCUAACUCCGUGCCAGCAGCCGCGGUAAUACGGAGGGGGUUAGCGUUGUUCGGAAUUACUGGGCGUAAAGCGCACGUAGGCGGAUUAGAAAGUUAGAGGUGAAAUCCCGGGGCUCAACCCCGGAACUGCCUUUAAAACUACUAGUCUAGAGUUCGAGAGAGGUGAGUGGAAUUCCGAGUGUAGAGGUGAAAUUCGUAGAUAUUCGGAGGAACACCAGUGGCGAAGGCGGCUCACUGGCUCGAUACUGACGCUGAGGUGCGAAAGUGUGGGGAGCAAACAGGAUUAGAUACCCUUGUAGUC
rnacentral:rRNA from 1 species